GGUACAUGCUGUUAACCGCGAGUCGGGCGAGUUUGCAACGGUGUCCAAAAUUACUAAGAUCAUCAAAGCCAUCCCCUACGCGGCUUUCUGGACUCCAUCUUGCAGGAGCAUCGGUCCGAUGGUCACACCGCCAUGAGGAGGACACCAUGAUCAAUCAGUUUAACAGAGGCUGAUGCUGCUUCAAGGGCAAAACAUCGCUGAUGCUUCCGAGUGUGAUCAUGUUCUUUACUUCUACGAGUGAAUAAUCGCUGCCUAGUUUAGUUUUAUUUCUACAUCCUGAACAAUUGGUUGUCUCUUUUUAAUUUCUAUAAGAGGCAUGUAGCCUCAAAUUUGUGUGUUUGGUUUACAACAUUUCCGUGUCGUACUUUGUCUAAUGCAUGCUUUAUUUCGUGUUUUA